rnacentral:rRNA from 1 species
GGGUGAGUAAUGUCUGGGGAUCUGCCCGAUAGAGGGGGAUAACCACUGGAAACGGUGGCUAAUACCGCAUAACGUCGCAAGACCAAAGAGGGGGACCUUCGGGCCUCUCACUAUCGGAUGAACCCAGAUGGGAUUAGCUAGUAGGCGGGGUAAUGGCCCACCUAGGCGACGAUCCCUAGCUGGUCUGAGAGGAUGACCAGCCACACUGGAACUGAGACACGGUCCAGACUCCUACGGGAGGCAGCAGUGGGGAAUAUUGCACAAUGGGCGCAAGCCUGAUGCACCCAUGCCGCGUGUAUGAAGAAGGCCUUCGGGUUGUAAAGUACUUUCAGCGGGGAGGAAGGCGAUGCGGUUAAUAACCGCGUCGAUUGACGUUACCCGCAAAAGAAGCACCGGCUA